GAUGAACGCUGGCGGCGUGCCUAAUACAUGCAAGUCGAGCGAAUGGAUUGAGAGCUUGCUCUCAAGAAGUUAGCGGCGGACGGGUGAGUAACACGUGGGUAACCCGCCCAUAAGACUGGGAUAACUCCGGGAAACCGGGGCUAAUACCGGAUAACAUUUUGAACUGCAUGGUUCGAAAUUGAAAGGCGGCUUCGGCUGUCACUUAUGGAUGGACCCGCGUCGCAUUAGCUAGUUGGUGAGGUAACGGCUCACCAAGGCAACGAUGCGUAGCCGACCUGGGAGGGGGAUCGGCCACACUGGGACUGAGACACGGCCCAGACUGCUACGGGAGGCAGCAGUAGGGAAUCUUCCGCAAUGGACGAAAGUCUGACGGAGCAACGCCGCGUGAGUGAUGAAGGCUUUCGGGUCGUAAAACUCUGUUGUUAGGGAAGAACAAGUGCUAGUUGAAUAAGCUGGCACCUUGACGGUACCUAACCAGAAAGCCACGGCUAACUACGUGCCAGCAGCCGCCGUAAAAC
rnacentral:rRNA from 1 species